GAACGCGAAGAACCUUACCAGGUCUUGACAUUGAUGGACGAAACAAGAGAUUGUUUUUCUCCUUCGGGAGCCAGAAAACAGGUGGUGCACGGCUGUCGUCAGCUCGUGUCGUGAGAUGUUGGGUUAAGUCCCGCAACGAGCGCAACCCCUAUCUUAUGUUGCCAGCACGUAAUGGUGGGAACUCAUGAGAGACUGCCGCAGACAAUGCGGAGGAAGGCGGGGAUGACGUCAAGUCAUCAUGCCCCUUAUGACCUGGGCUACACACGUACUACAAUGGGCUUUAAUAGAGGGAAGCGAAGCCGCGAGGUGGAACAAACCCCAGAAACAAGCUCUCAGUUCGGAUCGUAGGCUGCAACUCGCCUACGUGAAGUCGGAAUCGCUAGUAAUCGCAGGUCAGCAUACUGCGGUGAAUACGUUCCCGGGUCUUGUACACACC
rnacentral:rRNA from 1 species